AUUGAACGCUGGCGGCAGGCUUAACACAUGCAAGUCGAGCGGAGAUGAGGUGCUUGCACCUUAUCUUAGCGGCGGACGGGUGAGUAAUGCUUAGGAAUCUGCCUAUUAGUGGGGGACAACAUUCCGAAAGGAAUGCUAAUACCGCAUACGUCCUACGGGAGAAAGCAGGGGAUCUUCGGACCUUGCGCUAAUAGAUGAGCCUAAGUCGGAUUAGCUAGUUGGUGGGGUAAAGGCCUACCAAGGCGACGAUCUGUAGCGGGUCUGGGAGGAUGAUCCGCCACACUGGGACUGAGACACGGCCCAGACUCCUACGGGAGGCAGCAGUGGGGAAUAUUGGACAAUGGGCGCAAGCCUGAUCCAGCCAUGCCGCGUGUGUGAAGAAGGCCUUAUGGUUGUAAAGCACUUUAAGCGAGGAGGAGGCUACUUUAGUUAAUACCUAGAGAUAGUGGACGUUACUCGCAGAAUAAGCACCGGCUAACUCUGUGCCAGCCGCCGCAGUAAUAC
rnacentral:rRNA from 1 species